GCCCAGAUGGCGGAAUCGGUAGACGCGCUGGUCUCAAACACCAGUGGGGCAACCCGUGCCGGUUCGACCCCGGCUCUGGGUA
rfam:Prevotella sp. CAG:1058 genomic scaffold, scf128